CCUACGGGAGGCAGCAGUGAGGAAUAUUGGUCAAUGGGCGCAAGCCUGAACCAGCCAAGUAGCGUGCAGGAUGACGGCCCUACGGGUUGUAAACUGCUUUUGUACGGGAAUAACGCGCCUUACGUGUAGGGCUUUGCAUGUACCGUAUGAAUAAGCACCGGCUAAUUCCGUGCCAGCAGCCGCGGUAAUACGGAAGGUCCGGGCGUUAUCCGGAUUUAUUGGGUUUAAAGGGAGCGUAGGCCGCAUGUCAAGCGUGCUGUGAAAUGGCCGGGCUCAACCCGGGCCGUGCCGGGGGAACUGGCGUUCUUGAGUGCGCGGAAAGCAGGCGGAAUGCGUCGUGUAGCGGUGAAAUGCUUAGAUAUGACGAAGAACCCCGAUUGCGAAGGCAGCUUGCUGCAGCGGAACUGACGCUGAUGCUCGAAAGCGCGGGUAUCGAACAGGAUUAGAUACCCCGGUAGUC
rnacentral:rRNA from 1 species